ACCCGCCUGCCAGCUUCAGUUCCCUUCUCCGUAGCCCAUGCUCCUCCUCUACCAUGAAUGCCACCUCGGGUGAGUGUCUGAGCGCCCUAAUCCCCAGCUGGCCCCUAGUCCUCACCGGGUCAGGUGCUGUGUUGUGCGGGCAUGCACUCUGGAAGUUUCUACAUCCAGAGACUUCCCCCACCGAAACAGUCCGGGGACAAGAUACGGAUAUGUUUGGGUCAUGUGUGGAAAGAGGCAAUGAGCCAGGAUGGAGUUCCUCAGAUGGGACCUGGCAAGGCAGAUCCGCUAGUUCAGGUGGCAAAGCCUGGUGUCCUGAGUAUGAUCCCCCAUGACUCGCCUGCUGGAAGGAGGGAGGAAGUGACUAGCAGUUUGUCCUCUGACCUUUGUAGGGCAUUCCCCAACACCACUAAAUAAGUACACGCUGCCCGGAGUGGAGUCACCGUGUCAACAGAUGCUGACCUUUUCAGAGCUGUGGUCGGAAUUCCACUAAGGUGGCAGAAGGAGAAACGCUGGACCUGAGGAGAGCUCUUCAGAACCUCCAAAUGCACCUCCAGUGACACUCUCCCUCCAACAAGGCCAUGUCUUCCAAUCCUCCUCGUAGGUACCACCCUCUGGCGAUGGAGCAUUCAGAUCUGCGCUCCUGUGUGAGCUGUUCCUACUCAAACCACGACAGCGUAUUUAUCUUUUAUGUUGUUUUCAAACUCCCCCUGUGCAUCUUUGGCCUGCCUGCUUGCUUUCCUGGUUUCCUGUAGGCGAGUCUGCAACUUUACCAUGUUCCUUCGCCCUGCUCCUGUUCCUCUCAGCUCAACUCGCCCCUACACCACAGUUUACUAAUUACGUUUUUGAAGAUAUGAUACUAAAUUAGGCAUGAUGCCACUUUGGAGGAAAGGCAGGCAGAUUUCUGUGAGUUUAAGGCCAACCUGCUCUAUGUGAUAAGUUCCAGGACUAUAUAAUGGUAUCAUGUAUUAAAAUAUAUAUUAGCAUACAAUUGGUUUUGAUCAAUAAAUUAUGUACCCAGAUGAGUGCUUCACUCUGUCCUUCCCACUCCUGGCCCUGCCUAAGACUCCAGCAAGGAUUGUAUUCAAGUUCAUAGAAGAUAAAGUCUUUGUUGUGUUGGGUUAGGUGGGGGGGGGACAUGAAAAAUUAGCUUACUCAAGCAUUUAUGCCUUCAGCACAACACAGAACUGUAAUCUAGAUGCUGCUUAAUUUUGGGUGUAUAUGUGCAUUGGCGUGUGUGUGUUCCUGUGUGUGGAGGACAGAGGUCAACCUCAGCUGUCAUUCCCAAGGAGCUAUCCGUCUGGUGUUCUGAGGCAGAGUCUCUGGCUGGGAUAUGGGGCUUGGCAAUCAGGCUAUACUGGCAGGAAGGGCCCUCCUGUCUCCGUAUCCUCGGUACAAGGGAUCCAAGUGUAUGUGUGUGCCAUUGUGCCUAGCUCGAUGGAGCACUGAUGAUGGGUCUUCAUGCUGUGCCCAAGUAAAGCACAAAACAGUUUUACACCAGUUUGGACUUAUUAUUUAAAGGGUUAUUUAUUUGAGGGGAAAAAACUUACAGAACAUCAUCCUACACAACAGCCAAGAAAGGAGUCUAGUCGCUGGAACCGGAGUCCGGAGCAAGAGAGAGAGUGGAAGGCUGUCGCUGCUGUUUAAAGAGAAAGAGACCAUGCCUCAGUGGGCUGGUAUCACAGGCUCAAGGCUAGCCCGAGCUACCCCAUGAGACCCUGUCUCCAUAAACAAAACAAAAGGAAAGACAGGCAGUAGAAAGGGCAAUAGACUUCAGUGUUGUCAGAGGCAUUCCUUACAGACGGAAUGGGACCUAAUGCUCAUAAUAAUUUAAUGUAGGGGGGACUGGAGAGAUGGCUCAGAGGUUAAGAGCAUUGCCUGCUCUUCC